AUUCAGCGCCUUAGCAAAUUGUUCCUUUCAUGUUUCAAGGCACGUAAAAACAAGUAUGUACAACCAACAAAAUUUGAAAUCUGCUCAGGUUUCCAGAUCUAUGUAGCAUACUAGUUCCUUCAAGAAGGUUCAUAGUGUUAACUGCACAAAACACCAAACUCAAUAUACACUUUCUCUGAUGUUGCUGUAAAGAAAUGCAAUGAGAACUUACUUGUAUGCCUGUUUGCAGUCUUGAGCAAGACUUGCCUACCACUUACUAGUCCCAUCUGCAGCUCUUGCAUUACAACAUAACAUGGGUGCUUUACACCACAUGCAUACGAAAUACCAGAUCUGUAAUUCUGAUGAAUCUUGAUUGGAUCCUGGGACACAUGAGGAUGAGGGUGAAUAACUUGUUACCUGAUGAUCUAACCGAUCCCUACGAACAUGUUAACACUGAUCAUCAACAAUGGUUUACUAAAGAAUAUUCUUGGAUGAAUCUGAACAAUUUACAUAUAUUGAAUUCUACCUUAUCAACUAUUUUUGGUGCCUUUGACUUGUGAUCCUUGAUGCUCCCUGCUGCUUGGAAAGGAUUUCAGCUAUAAGUUGCUUUUGGCCAAAGAGUUGGGCAUUUCUCAAAAGCAAGUUCCUUGAUGAUGAGUCCACAGAAUAGCCUUGACCAGUCAUCCAGUCCAAGAGGCAAAGCAGUAGCUGCUUCUUAUCAGGUUUCUGAAUGUAUCGCUGAAUUGCUUUCCCAAAGAUAUCCUGCUACCUUAACAACUACGUAUGCAUCCUUGAGAAGUCCAGCUGGAACUAAGAUACAUAAAACCUUCUCAUGAAGAGAUUUACACACUGUUCUCUUUCCAUAUCUCAACAUAUUAUACACAGAAAAUGCUUCAGAAGGAAAACCCGCUUCUCCUAGCUGCAUCAUUAUCUCAGAACAAAGCUCCUCAUUCAAUUGAUGGCCCUUUGUAUGCAUAUCUUGAAUUGUCUUGUAUGCUAGGUGAUAGACCUUUGCCAUGCAGAAGUACCUUAUUAAGGUAUUAAAUGUGAUAGCAUCAGGCGAUAUGUUCGAUUCAUCCAUUUUCCUAAGCAUGAUCAUUACACUUUCCAUAUCAUUGGUGCUGCAGUAAGCACGAAGUGAUGUAUUAAGCAUAACCAGAUCAUAUGUUGCAUUCUUGGCCUCAAAUUCUUUUGCAAGUUGUUUUGACUCUUCACGAUAGCCACCUCGAUGUAAUGCUGAUAUCAUGAUACUGAAUGCAUAGCCAUCAGAUUUGACACCUUUUUCUUUCAUAUCAUUAAAUAGAAUCAUGGCUUCCCAUAUCUUCCGUUCUUUGACAAGGCCAUCAAUCAAUAUGCAACCAAAUAUUUUACCUCAUCCUGUGCGAAGCCUGAAGCUUCCAGUUCAGUUAGCAGUUCCCUUGCCUUCUCAAAGAGACCACCUUUAGAAUACACCUUUAACAAAGUGGUGACAAACCUUGUUCGGUGUUAACCCUGAGGACCUCAAAUCUUUCAUCAACAGAUCAGCCUUUUCAUAAUUAGCAUUUUCUGAAUAUGCAUUCAACAGAGAGCUAUAAUGGAAUAGAUUAGGCUUGUGUCCUUCGUCCUUCAUUUUCUGAAAAUAUUCCUCAGCCUUCUCGCAGCAGUUAUGUGACGCGCAUAUAGCCAGGAGAGUGCCAUAUAUUACACUAUCCAUCUGAAAACCACGGGAAUUCAGCUCAUUAACUAAUUCCAUGGCCUUAGUGUAACCCUGCUUCAACUUCAUGCACCCUGACAGAAGCUAGAAGUGAACAGAUCGGGUGAUAGACCUUCUCGUAUCAUCUCAUCAUAAAGCUUGAAGCUGCUAUCGAACCUCCCGUUCUUCACCAAGCACCCGAGGACCGAGUUACAAACGGAGACAUGGAUCCUUGUCGGGUUUUCUCGGAUAGCACCGUACACUUGCAGCGCUCGGGCAGGGUUGCGGCUCAACCCAAGGUACUUGAAGUAACUGCUGUAAGACGCAAUGUUGAGCAUGUCGUGCUCCUGCAUCCACCCGAAGACCUGAAACAAAAUAGCUCAUCCCAGCGCCUGGUUUCACCGUAGUGGCGCAGGAUUAUGUUGCAGUCCUGUGUCUGCAGCACAUCCUCGAACCUGUACAGCAUCAAAGUGCGGCGACGGGGUCGGGGGCGGCCUUGACCUCCGCGACGGCGCUGCGCCGAGGCGACGGCCGCGGUGGCGGCCUCGAGGCCUGCGGGGCUUCCAGCGCCCGGGGGGCGGCGCGGGCGCAGGAGAUGUUCCGUCGGGAGCAGCACGCCGCCGCCGCCGCCGCCGCUGGCGUUGGAUGAGGAGGAGGGGAGAGGAAGCGGGAGGCGGGGAGCGGCAGCGACGCGGCGGCCUCCAUCUCGCCGCCGGCGGGGCGCUGCUGUGUUCGC
rnacentral:sRNA from 1 species